rnacentral:rRNA from 1 species
UACGUAGGGUGCAAGCGUUAAUCGGAAUUACUGGGCGUAAAGCGUGCGCAGGCGGUGAUGUAAGACAGAUGUGAAAUCCCCGGGCUCAACCUGGGAACUGCAUUUGUGACUGCAUCGCUGGAGUGCGGCAGAGGGGGAUGGAAUUCCGGCGUGUAGCAGUGAAAUGCGUAGAUAUGCGGAGGAACACCGAUGGCGAAGGCAAUCCCCUGGGCCUGCACUGACGCUCAUGCACGAAAGCGUGGGGGAGCAAACAGG